rnacentral:rRNA from 1 species
GCAUAAUGGUUAAACAAUAAUAAAUUUAAAUUAAUUUUUCUCGAUAAAAGAUGAUCUAUACACAAAAAUUUUUUAGAAAAUUAUUAUUUAUUGUUGCAUAAAUAUUAUAAUAUUUGUAUAUUAGUAGUGAAAAGCUUUCAAAUCUUUAGAUAUCUAGAUUUUAAGUAAAUGUAUUUAGUACAUGUAAUUUAAAUAAAUAGUGAUAAGAUUAUUUAUUAAAAGUAAAUAAUUUAUAUAAAAUAAUUAAUUAUAAAUUAUAUUAAUUUGUUUGUAUUAAAAUUUAUUUAUAUUUAGUUCUUUAAUACUACUUAAAUAUAUUACUUAAUAAAAUGUAUUAUAAAUAAUGUUUAAAUUAGUAUUAUAUUUUUACUUAAAAAAAAGGAACUCGGCAAAUAAUAUCAUUAACUGUUUAACAAAAACAUAGCUUAUUGUAUAAUUUAUAAUAAGUUAUUUCUGCCCUGUGAAAGUUUUUAACGGCCGCAGUACUUUGACUGUGCUAAGGUAGCAAAAUAAUUAGGCUUUUAAUUGGAGUCGGGAAUGAAAGAAAUUAAUAAUGAAAUACUGUCUUUAUUUUAUUUUUUAAAAAUUACUUAUAUGGUGAAAAUUCCAUUAAAAAAACCAAAAGACGAGAAGACCCUAAGAAUUAUUAACCUAAGUAAUAAUUUUACUUUUUUUUUUGUUGGGGCAACAUUAAUUAUAAAAAUUAAUUUUAAAUAUUUUACUUAAGAAAAUUUAUUUAAUAAGAAAUAAAUUACCUUAGGGAUAACAGCAUAAUUAUCAUUAUAGAUUAUGACCUCGAUGUUGGACUAAGGAAAAUAUAUAGUUAGCCAUUAUAUAUACAGGUUCUGUUCGAACUAUUUAUCCUUACAUGAUCUGAGUUCAGACCGGCGUAAGCCAGGUCAGUUUCUAUCUUUUAAAAAAUAUUUUGUAGUACGAAAGGGACCGUAGA